CGCUGAGGCGCGAAAGCGUGGGGAGCGAACAGGAUUAGAUACCCUGGUAGUCCACGCUGUAAACGAUGAAUGCUAGGUGUAGGGGGUAUCGACCCCUUCUGUGCCGGAGCGAACGCAAUAAGCAUUCCGCCUGGGGAGUACGGCCGCAAGGUUGAAACUCAAAGGAAUUGACGGGGGCCCGCACAAGCAGCGGAGCAUGUGGUUUAAUUCGACGCAACGCGAAGAACCUUACCAGGUCUUGACAUCGAUCUAAGCCCUUAGAGAUAGGGGGUCCCUUCGGGGGAGAGAAGACAGGUGGUGCAUGGUUGUCGUCAGCUCGUGUCGUGAGAUGUUGGGUUAAGUCCCGCAACGAGCGCAACCCUUAUGAUCAGUUACUAACGGGCAAAGCCGAGGACUCUGAUGAGACCGCCGGGGACAACUCGGAGGAAGGUGGGGACGACGUCAAAUCAUCAUGCCCCUUAUGACCUGGGCUACACACGUGCUACAAUGGUGGCAACAAAGAGGAGCGAAAGCGCGAGCUGGAGCGGAUCUCAAAAAAGCCAUCUCAGUUCGGAUUGUGGGCUGCAACCCGCCCACAUGAAGUUGGAGUUGCUAGUAAUCG
rnacentral:rRNA from 1 species